GAUGAACGCUGGCGGCGUGCCUAAUACAUGCAAGUCGAGCGAAUGGAUUAAGAGCUUGCUCUUAUGAAGUUAGCGGCGGACGGGUGAGUAACACGUGGGUAACCUGCCCAUAAGACUGGGAUAACUCCGGGAAACCGGGGCUAAUACCGGAUAACAUUUUGAACCGCAUGGUUCGAAAUUGAAAGGCGGCUUCGGCUGUCACUUAUGGAUGGACCCGCGUCGCAUUAGCUAGUUGGUGAGGUAACGGCUCACCAAGGCAACGAUGCGUAGCCGACCUGAGAGGGUGAUCGGCCACACUGGGACUGAGACACGGCACAGACUCCUACGGGAGGAAGCAGUAGGGAAUCUUCCGCAAUGGACGAAAGUCUGACGGAGCAACGCCGCGUGAGUGAUGAAGGCUUUCGGGUCGUAAAACUCUGUUGUUAGGGAAGAACAAGUGCUAGUUGAAUAAGCUGGCACCUUGACGGUACCUAACCAGAAAGCCACGGCUAACUACGUGCCAGCGGCCGCGGUAA
rnacentral:rRNA from 1 species